AGCAGCCGCGGUAAUUCCAGCUCCAAUAGCGUAUAUUAAAGUUGUUGCAGUUAAAAAGCUCGUAGUUGAAUUUCGGGAUCAGUUGAUCGGUCGUGCCUCGGUACGUACUGGUCAAAUUGAUUCCUACCUUCUGACGAACCACGAUGUCAUUAAUUUGAUGUCGCGGGAAAUCAGGACUGUUACUUUGAAAAAUUGAGUGUUUAAAGCAGGCUCGCGCUUGAAUACAUUAGCAUGGAAUAAUGAAAUAGGACGUUUGAUUCUAUUUUGUUGGUUUCUAGGAUCGACGUAAUGAUUAAUAGGGAUAGUUGGGGGCAUUAGUAUUCAAUUGUCAGAGGUGAAAUUCUUGGAUUUAUUGAAGACUAACUACUGCGAAAGCAUUUGCCAAGGAUGUUUUC
rnacentral:rRNA from 1 species